CAAUAGCGUAUAUUAAAGUUGUUGCGGUUAAAAAGCUCGUAGUUGGAUUUCUGCCGAGGACGACCGGUCCGCCCUCUGGGUGUGUAUCUGGUUUGGCCUGGGCAUCUUCUUGGAGAACGUAGCUGCACUUGACUGUGUGGUGCGGUGUCCAGGACUUUUACUUUGAGGAAAUUAGAGUGUUUCAAGCAGGCACACGCCUUGAAUACAUUAGCAUGGAAUAAUAAGAUAGGACCUCGGUUCUAUUUUGUUGGUUUCUAGAGCUGAGGUAAUGAUUAAUAGGGAUAGUUGGGGGCAUUCGUAUUUCAUUGUCAGAGGUGAAAUUCUUGGAUUUAUGAAAGACGAACUUCUGCGAAAGCAUUUGCCAAGGAUGUUUUCAUUAA
rnacentral:rRNA from 1 species